rnacentral:rRNA from 1 species
AGGAAGAGAAAAUAAAUGAAUGAUUCCCCCAGUAGUGGCGAGCGAACGGGGAACAGCCCAAACCGUUGACGUCGCAAGGCGCCAGCGGGGUUGUAGGACCGCGACAUUGUAUGCAAAUCGUGAACAGAACACUUUGGAAAAUGUGACCAUAGACGGUGAUAGUCCAGUAUGUGAAGCGAAAUGCAGCAUAGCGGUAUCCUGAGUAACGCGGGACACGAGGAAUCCUGCGCGAAUCUGCCGGGACCAUCCGGUAAGGCUAAAUACUCCCGUGAGACCGAUAGCGAACGAGUACUGUGAAGGAAAGGUGAAAAGAACCCCGAGCAGGGGAGUGAAAUAGUUCCUGAAACCAUACGCCUACAAGCGGUCGGAGCAUCUUACGAUGUGACGGCGUGCCUUUUGCAUAAUGAUCCUACGAGUUACCGUCACUGGCGAGGUUGAGUGUCAUGAGACACGUAGCCGCAGUGAAAGCGAGCCUGAACAGGGCGCAUAGUCAGUGGGGGUAGACGCGAAACCAAGUGAUCUACACUUGGCCAGGAUGAAGUCCCGGUAACACGGGAUGGAGGUCCGCACCAAUAAGCGUUGAAAAGCUUCUGGAUGAGCCGAGUGUAGGAGUGAAAGGCCAAUCAAACUUGGAGAUAGCUCGUACUCCCCGAAAGGCAUUUAGGUGCCGCGUCGGAUGGUCACCGUGAGAGGUAGAGCGACCGAUAGGACAAGAGGGCUUCACCGCCUAUCGAGUCCUGACGAACUCCGAAUGCUCACGGUUUGCAGUCCGGCAGUAAGGGGGCGGGUGCUAAGGUCCGUCCCCGAGAGGAGAAGAAUCCAGACCGCCGUCUAAGGUCCCGGAGUUCUGCCUGAGUUAGUCUAACGAAGUCUGGUCCCUAUGACAGCUAGGAUGUUGGCUUGGAAGCAGCCAUUCAUUCAAAGAGUGCGUAACAGCUCACUAGUCGAGGGUCCGGGCAUGGAUAAUAAUCGGGUAUAAGGCAGACACCGAAGGCGCGGGAUAGCAUUUAAGAAAGUAUCGGUAGGGGAGCAUACUCACAGCGUGGAAUGGUGUACGUAAGUUAUCCUGGAGCGGUGAGUAAAGCAAAUGUAGGAAUAAGUAACGAUAAGGAGGGUUAGAUUCCCUCCCGCUGUAAGACCAAGGUUUCCCGGGCAAUGCCAAUCAGCCCGGGGUCAGUCGGGUCCUAAGUCUAAGCCGAACGGCGAUGGCGAUGGCAGAGACGGUUAAUAUUCCGUCACUGCCGCAUGGGGCGACGUGGAGACGGAGCAGUGAAACCACCGCGGGGCGACGGAAGUCCCCGUUGAAGAGUGUAGGUGUUGAGGAUGGCAGGCAAAUCCACCGUCCGAGCUGAACUUGAUAGUAUGGAGUCUUCUUCGGAAGAAUCCAAUAGUGUGGGUAAUCAUACUCCCGAGAAAAUCCGCUAAGCUUAACCCAUGCGGCA